rnacentral:lncRNA from 1 species
UCAUUUACAUUCUAAUUGGAGUGCUGUGUGUUCAAAAUUUUAUACACUCCAUCAAGCUGUGACCAAGCUUCUAAUCGAGUGCCGUAGGAUAGUAUCAAUCACAAUAAAUUUAUUUUAUAACCUUAACAUCGAUUUCUCCCUUAAGUAUUUAUGAUCCAAAUCAUGAAUGAUCCUCCGUAUGUUACAGAUUUUGUGGAUCAUUGAUAACCGGAAGUUUUAGAUAAUGAAUUAGAGACUCAGAGUUAAGUAAAACAUGAAAUUUAUACCUGAAAAGUCCAUGGGAUCAGGAAAUUUUUUGAAUGUGAAAAGAAUUAUUUUGGAAUUUGAGUUUGUUUAUAAAUUAUUACAUCUCAUUAUAUAGGAAGUAUGAAGGUAAGCGUAAGUCUACUAUCCAAACUCUUAACAUACUUCAAAAUUUUAUUUAUAUGUUUUCAGCUCUGUUUUUUUAUUUAAUAUUUUUCUUUUUUGCAUUUUUGAUAUAAUAUUUUGAUGAAAUGCUAAUUUGUUUUUUUUUUUCUUCUGAAAUUGCUUGAUUUUGAACUUCGUCAGAAAUUGUGAAUAUUAGAACCCCAGUUUAAGUCUAUGACCCGAACACAUUAGUAUAUGCGUAUAGUUUUGAAAUUAAACUCUGAUACCUUGCAACUUGCAAGGGUGCAAUGAUGCGCACUUUCUGACAUUAUAGUAUGUUAACUUCUGGAGUCUGGACCGCGUCAGUGGUUUAUUGUGACUUCUGGAAUUCUGGACCAUGUCAACAGUUUAUAGUGACCAGCUUAGAUCAAAUAGGUGACUAAAAGUCAUCAUUUUAAACGUUAUAAAUUGCUGAAAUUUAGUGUUUGGUAUUUUGCAUUGCAUUUAUUGGUUGAACACAGGGGUGGCAAUCUCAGACACGACCCGAAACCCGACUCGAACCUGACCCAACCCGAAACCCGAUUUACUGAGACAGAAACCCGAAAGUGACCCGAAAAUCACCCGAUUGACCCGAAAUAGACCCGAAAUGACCCGAAAUUAGAAUUUUAUUUCUAAUAACUUCAAUUUUCAGUUUUAUUCAAUUUUAAGUGAUUUUAACUUAACCCGAAAUCGACCCGAUUGCUGACACGAACACGAUCAUUUGAAAGAUCAUCUUUGAUUCAGAUUGUAACACAAAUUUCUAUUACCAAAAUCACAAUCUGAUAGUGAUUUUGGUAAUAGAAAUUUGUGUUACAAUCUGAAUCAAAGAUGAUCCUUCAAAUGGAUAUCUUAUUUUAAUAUGUGUUCUACUUAUGAAUGAUACAUUAUUCAAACUAGGAAGAAUCCUUCAAACAGAUUUUGUUUAAACUAUUCUUCCGGAUCAUGAAUGAUCCUCAGAUUAAAUUCUUGUUAACUAUUCAUAUAAAUCCUGAAUAAUAAGCUGCAUCUUGUAUAUGUAUAUAUUGAUAGUGACAGAGGGCUCACUUCUAAAUAUCUUAUCUAUAUAUGCUCCGAUGCUCUAUAGAAGUAGGAAAAGAGAGUACUCUGCACUAGUGUUUAAGAGAUUCCAGAGAAUGAAGAGAGAAACUCCGAAAAGAAAGGCUAUCACUUGUACCACCGACAUACUGAUUCGGUCAGAGAGUCCUCCCAUCCCCGCUUGUCUGGCUGCCGAUGAGCUCACUCGACUUCUAACUAGGUCUGUCAUUUUUACACAUCCAACCCUAUUUUAUAAUAAGUAUUGUAUUUUGGGAAAAUUAAUUCAUUUGUUCCUGAACUGUAGGUCGUUAAUGGUUUAGGUCCCUAAACUAAAAACCCAAUUUUUUUUUUUGCCACAACUAAAAACCCAAUUUUUGAUACCUAAAUGUUUAAAAAAUCUGAUUCAAGUCCUUCCGUCAAAAUUUGACUAACGCUUGUUAGUCAUUGCUGACAUGGAAAUUGGAAAAAUAAAAGAAAAAAAAAUUAAAAUACGAGAAAUCAAAACUUCAAGGACUGAAGUGAAAUCUUGAUAUGUUAAUGUACUAGUGAUUUUAAAAAUACGGGUGGUGAAAGUUUUAGAUUUCGAGUUUACUAACAUAUAGAAAUAUCACUUUAAUCUCAAGAUCACGAAGAUAAAAACUUAUUAAAAUGCAGUUUUUUGUAUGCUGGUGAACUCUAAUCAGGAAUUUUCACUAUCCUUGUUCUUGAAAUGACUCAUAAAUGAACAUAUCAAAAUUUUAUUUCAUUCCAUGAAGUUGUGAUUUUUGUGUUUUCAAUUAUUAUUUUCUUUUGUUUUUUCAAUUUCUAUGUCAGUAUUAAGUAACGGCCGUUAGUCAAAUUUUGGCGGAGGGACUUGAAUCAGUUUUUUGGAAAGUUUAGAUAUCGAAGUUGGGUUUUUUUAGUUUAGGGACCUAAACCAUAAACGGCCUAUAGGAAUGAAUUAAUUUUCCUGUGUAUUUUCAGCUGAUAUAAGAUUACAUGUGUAUAUUUAUUGUGUGUGUGUAUAUAUAUGUGUGUACUUUAUGUAAUGGUCGUCUGAUGGAAUAAGCGAGGUGUACUUUGGAAGAAAAAUCACAGAAGUUCAGAGCUUGACAAAGAGGUUUGACAUCUCUCUCCACUGUCCUCCAAUGUGUAUUCUCUUUUAAAUUGGAGUCAUUUUGACAAAUAAAUGGUUUUCUUUAAAACAAAAAAAUACUAACAAUAUUUAUGCAUGUAAAUUGUAAAUGUAAUAGAGUCUAGUCAAUUUUGUAAAUGAAUACAAAUUCAGAAAGUAGUUUUAGGUUUUUGAGUUAUAUAAAUAUUCUAUUAUUAUUUAUUGUUUGGGAAAAUUAAUUUAUUAGUCCAUGACCUAUAUGUCGUUUAUGGUUUAGGACUCUGAACUAAAUAAGACCAAAUUUUUUUAUACCUAAACUUUUAGAAAAUCCGAUUCAGGUCCCUUUAUUAAAAUUUGACUAACUGCAGUUGUUCAAUGCUGACGUGGAAAUUGAAAAAAUAAAAGAAAAAAAUAAUUAAAAAUACCAAAAAUCAAAACUUCAGAGAUUGAAAUGAAAUUUUGAUAUGUUAUUCUACAAGUGAUUUCAAAACAAUGGUUGGUGAAAGUUUUUGAUUUCGAGUUCACUAACAUAUAGAAAUAUGCACUUUAAUCUCGAGAACACGUAGUUAUCAAGGCUUAUUAAUCUCAAUGAGGGGAGGAAGAGAAAUAAAGUCACUCAUUCUUCUAGCCCCUAUUUCUAUCACUCCAUUUUCAUGUCAUAUUGUCCACAGAUCCGGACCUUAUUCAAGAAUUCUGCAUACCAGACACCACAUCAAAUGUCACCCAAACAACAAGGUCUGGUAUGAUCCCAUGCGAAAAUCUGGUAGAUGUUAUCCCCGAAGAUUUUAUCUUCUCAGGUAUAGAACAUCCUGGAAAUUUAUCAGGCACUGGACUAUCAGCAAUAUCCGUGAGUCCACAAACUUUUCCAGGCCUCAACACCCAAGGCAUGUCUUUGUUGCGUGCUGAUCACCAUAAAGCCCCAAACUGAUAGGUGGGUAUUCCCCGAUACUGGUGAAGGCAUCAUUAUCCUGGCUGAAGGACGUUUGAUGAACUUGGGUUCUGCAACUGGUCACUCCAGUUUCGUGAUGUCUUGCUCUUUCGCUAACCAAGUGAUUUCUCAGCUAGAGUUGUGGAAUGAGAAGAGCUCCGGAAAGUAUGAUUAGAAGGUCCAUGUCUUACCCAAUCACCUCGAUGAGAAGGUUGCUGCACUCCAUCUUGAAAAGCUCGGUGCAAAGCCUACAAAGCUCUCCAAGGACCAAGCUGACUACAUCAGUGUUCAAGUUGAGGGUCUUCAAGAGUUAAAUAAUGUGAAAAACCUCUCUAUCAUUCUGCCUGUAUGCUUUCAUUUUGAAUAUGGACUCAUUGAUGUGGUGGAAGCAAAAUCUGCAAUGCCAGCUAACAUCUGUCAAGAUGUCAUCAAUCUGGCGAUGAUGUGCAGAUCUUAUCUUUCCCAUCUAAUAUGUAUGUACCAGUGUUAUGAUUGUGAGUACAUAUGUAUCUAUAUAAAAAGGAGAAGAGCUGGUAGGACGAAUGAAGGAAAAGGUAAAGAUAGAAAUACCCUUAACCACACAGAUGGCGCUAGACCCAUUUGAUGGAAACACGCUGAAUGUAAGUAAACUAAAAGUCUAGUAUAUCACAUGAUAUUUUAUAAAUUGGAGUAUCUCAAGUAGUCUGACACACAAAGUGCACUUUACUCUUAUAUAUAUAUAUUCAUAGAUAUUUGCGGUUUUCUUAUUGAACUUUGAUUCUAUUCCAUGGAACCUUAAAAUUUUAGGUAGGUUGAUCAAUCACCAUUGUAUCAUAAACCAAUAUAAUGUUCUUUUAAUAUUGAUACUUAGAGAAGGCUGUGGAAAUCAUUUUAGAUUACAUGUUUUUCACAUUAGUUGAAAUUCAGUACAUGCUGGCACAAAACUACAUCUUCACACAUCUUUCACAUUUAGGAAGUUUUUAUAUACCGGUUCUUGUUAUUCAACUUUCGUUAAAGGUAACAAAUAGGUCACUUGUGAGGAACAUUAUUAUAAAAUUAUUAAGCUUUAAGGAACAGUAUUGCAAAAGCUGAAACUCUAGGUGAACAAAUAAUGUUGUAGAACUUAAUUUUGGAGGGACACUUCUCUUAUCUACCUUACUAGAUUACUUAAGGGUUAAAUAUCAAAGUGGUCACUCAAGUGGAGGUCAUAUAUCACUUUGCUUACUAAUCUUAACGGGGUCUCAUUUANAUAUCUAAUCCGGUGUUGUUCGCUAUCAAUGGAUUGGGAUGUUUUAGUGCGGCAUAUAUUAGAUGCCAAAACGACGAACCAACUCAGGUUUUAAACCAAUCAAUCUUUCUUAUUUCGCCUCAUCGUUUUUAAUUAUGUUUUUAUCUUUAUGUAUGUGUUGUAGUGUUGUUAAUUGUUUUAAUACAUUUUCGUCAUUUACAUUCUAAUUGGAGUGCUGUGUGUUCAAAAUUUUAUACACUCCAUCAAGCUGUGACCAAGCUUCUAAUCGAGUGCCGUAGGAUAGUAUCAAUCACAAUAAAUUUAUUUUAUAACCUUAACAUCGAUUUCUCCCUUAAGUAUUUAUGAUCCAAAUCAUGAAUGAUCCUCCGUAUGUUACAGAUUUUGUGGAUCAUUGAUAACCGGAAGUUUUAGA